ACUCAGUGCACUGAAAUCCAUGUGUGCCAAUGUGUCCAUGCUCUGAUUAACAAUUGAAAAGGUUUCAUGCAGUCUUUGUCUCGCAAUCAGCACCUCUGGGAUGACGUCAGCAUACAAAAACACGGAUGUGUCUUCAAGGGACAAACCUUGUUUUUCUCGAGCUAUUUUAAAAAGUUUGUUUCUGAUGUGUAGCUCUUUGAAUUCGACGACAAUGUCUUGCGGAACGCCUGGGGAGCUCUCUUUGAAACAUUAAUUCAGAAAGCCGAGGAAGGAGCGAGGCACCCAGUAACACAAGAAGCAUUCGUUUCAAGCAUUUCAAGUAGCUGACAUAAAGGGGGGAAAAGUCCUUCGGUGUUUUGUUGAAUGUCAGAUGGAUACAAGCCUAUGGCUAGGAGAACAACAGGGCCAUCCUGUGCUGAGCGACUCCAGCCUGAGCCGAGUGAAAUCAAUGGGCUUACAUUUAGAACUUUACAGAAAAAUGCUUAUUUACUUAGGAUGUGUAGAGUGAAAAUUCAUGGAGAGGAGUCCUGCCAGAUGAUGUAGUGAUGUAGUG